rnacentral:rRNA from 1 species
GCACCAUACGCAGUUAACAACGUACGUGAACUGCUUAGAGGUUAAACCCGAUGAACCUAAAUAUCCAGUAUGAGAAAGUCAUUAUUAUGAGUAUAUUAUUUUAUAAUGUAUUAAUAGUGUGCAUUUUUUUCAUAAAAAGGACAUUGUAAUCUGUUAAUACAAUUUAUAUAUUCUUUUAUAUAUUAUUUUUAUCAUAAAGAGUCAUGUAUAAGUUUACAUAUAAAUUAAUUAAUUUAUUAAUUAAUUGAUGUAAGAUCGAUGAAUUUCUAGAUAAAUAGUUAACAGUAUUAAAAUAUAUAAUGCUUACAUAAUUUUUUAUGUUUUAUAUAUAAUAUGUACAUGUACAUAUAUAUGUUUUUGCAUUUAUAUUAUAACAAUGCUAUAGAUUUAGUAAUUUCCACAGGGC